AAUCACCCCGAGGGCCGGAUCCGGCCCCCGGGCCUUGACUUUAACACAUGGGGUCUAGAACAUUGACAGCUGCAGAGAAAAACUACAAGUUACUGUGGUGAGUAGGGCACGCCUACUAAUUAUGAGGCAGCAGGACAGACUUGCUGAUUGGGGGAAUAUGCUUUUAAAAGCCCUUCCCGUUCGCUUUCUGGCAUGAGCUUUUUCGGCUGCCAGUCACUAGGAAGUGGGAACUCCAGUACACAGGCAGAUAAAGUGGGCUCUGUGAGCGCGCAGAUUUAAAUAUGGGCUGGAAAUUUACUAGCUUACUUUCCAGUUCCUUUACAUAAACGGUCGGCUGGUGCCUCGGCAGUGCGGCUGCAGAACAGAGUCUGCAAGCGUGACGGACUGUUGCCUUAACCCGCUUCCUCUCGGUGACCGGUGAGUAAGUGCUGCUGCUUUGCCACUGUUAUUUCCUGGUUCCGGUCCGGAUCUCCCCUCUUCCCUCGCCGUGUUGGGAUGGAGUUGGAUGGACACCUGCAGCAACGGUGGAGACCGUGUGUGCAUCGGCAUCUGGCUGGACUGUGGACUGACACCUGUCGUACAGCGUUGGCCGUCGGGCGGCUUACCUGGCCCCCUUGGAGGUUGGAGCUCGAGGUGGACGGCUGCACUGGUGGCGGGUUCCUGUGUGACCUUCUAUCACGAGUGCAGUGCAUCACACUCCUGGGUGUUUGUUUUUGUUUAGUUUUUGCUGUAGUUCUUGCCAUCUCGGUAAGCUCCUCCUCCUGAACA